rnacentral:rRNA from 1 species
GGGUUGUGAGGUUAAGCGACUAAGCGUACACGGUGGAUGCCCUGGCAGUCAGAGGCGAUGAAGGGCGUGCUAAUCUGCGAUAAGCGCCGGUAAGGUGAUAUGAACCGUUAUAACCGGCGAUACCCGAAUGGGGAAACCCAGUGUGACUCGUCACACUAUCAUUAACUGAAUCCAUAGGUUAAUGAGGCGAACCGGGGGAACUGAAACAUCUAAGUACCCCGAGGAAAAGAAAUCAACCGAGAUUCCCCCAGUAGCGGCGAGCGAACGGGGAGGAGCCCAGAGCCUGAAUCAGCAUGUGUGUUAGUGGAAGCGUCUGGAAAGGCGCGCGAUACAGGGUGACAGCCCCGUACACAAAAGCGCAUGUGCUGUGAGCUCGAUGAGUAGGGCGGGACACGUGGUAUCCUGUCUGAAUAUGGGGGGACCAUCCUCCAAGGCUAAAUACUCCUGACUGACCGAUAGUGAACCAGUACCGUGAGGGAAAGGCGAAAAGAACCCCGGCGAGGGGAGUGAAAAAGAACCUGAAACCGUGUACGUACAAGCAGUGGGAGCCCCACCACCAAAGCAUUCUCUGGUGUUGAAGGCCCUGCAAAGCAGCAUCGCGGUGGCGGAGCGUCGUUUGCGACGCCCAACACACAAAACAAGCGGUGAGUGCUUUGGGGUGGGGUGACUGCGUACCUUUUGUAUAAUGGGUCAGCGACUUAUAUUCUGUAGCAAGGUUAACCGAAUAGGGGAGCCGGAGGGAAACCGAGUCUUAAUUGGGCGUUAAGUUGCAGGGUAUAGACCCGAAACCCGGUGAUCUAGCCAUGGGCAGGUUGAAGGUUGGGUAACACUAACUGGAGGACCGAACCGACUAAUGUUGAAAAAUUAGCGGAUGACCUGUGGCUGGGGGUGAAAGGCCAAUCAAACCGGGAGAUAGCUGGUUCUCCCCGAAAGCUAUUUAGGUAGCGCCUCGUGAAUUCAUCUCCGGGGGUAGAGCACUGUUUCGGCUAGGGGGCCAUCCCGGCUUACCAACCCGAUGCAAACUGCGAAUACCGGAGAAUGUUAUCACGGGAGACACACGGCGGGUGCUAACGUCCGUCGUGAAGAGGGAAACAACCCAGACCGCCAGCUAAGGUCCCAAAGUCAUGGUUAAGUGGGAAACGAUGUGGGAAGGCCCAGACAGCCAGGAUGUUGGCUUAGAAGCAGCCAUCAUUUAAAGAAAGCGUAAUAGCUCACUGGUCGAGUCGGCCUGCGCGGAAGAUGUAACGGGGCUAAACCAUGCACCGAAGCUGCGGCAGCGACACUGUGUGUUGUUGGGUAGGGGAGCGUUCUGUAAGCCUGUGAAGGUGUGUCGUGAGGCAUGCUGGAGGUAUCAGAAGUGCGAAUGCUGACAUAAGUAACGAUAAAGCGGGUGAAAAGCCCGCUCGCCGGAAGACCAAGGGUUCCUGUCCAACGUUAAUCGGGGCAGGGUGAGUCGACCCCUAAGGCGAGGCCGAAAGGCGUAGUCGAUGGGAAACGGGUUAAUAUUCCCGUACUUGGUGUUACUGCGAAGGGGGGACGGAGAAGGCUAUGUUGGCCGGGCGACGGUUGUCCCGGUUUAAGCGUGUAGGUGUGUGUUCCAGGUAAAUCCGGUUCACUUUAACACUGAGGCGUGAUGACGAGGCACUACGGUGCUGAAGCAACAAAUGCCCUGCUUCCAGGAAAAGCCUCUAAGCAUCAGGUAACAUCAAAUCGUACCCCAAACCGACACAGGUGGUCAGGUAGAGAAUACCAAGGCGCUUGAGAGAACUCGGGUGAAGGAACUAGGCAAAAUGGUGCCGUAACUUCGGGAGAAGGCACGCUGACACGUAGGUGAAGUGAUUUACUCAUGGAGCUGAAGUCAGUCGAAGAUACCAGCUGGCUGCAACUGUUUAUUAAAAACACAGCACUGUGCAAACACGAAAGUGGACGUAUACGGUGUGACGCCUGCCCGGUGCCGGAAGGUUAAUUGAUGGGGUCAGCGCAAGCGAAGCUCCUGAUCGAAGCCCCGGUAAACGGCGGCCGUAACUAUAACGGUCCUAAGGUAGCGAAAUUCCUUGUCGGGUAAGUUCCGACCUGCACGAAUGGCGUAAUGAUGGCCAGGCUGUCUCCACCCGAGACUCAGUGAAAUUGAACUCGCUGUGAAGAUGCAGUGUACCCGCGGCAAGACGGAAAGACCCCGUGAACCUUUACUAUAGCUUGACACUGAACAUUGAGCCUUGAUGUGUAGGAUAGGUGGGAGGCUUUGAAGUGUGGACGCCAGUCUGCAUGGAGCCGACCUUGAAAUACCACCCUUUAAUGUUUGAUGUUCUAACGUGGACCCGUAAUCCGGGUUGCGGACAGUGUCUGGUGGGUAGUUUGACUGGGGCGGUCUCCUCCUAAAGAGUAACGGAGGAGCACGAAGGUUGGCUAAUCCUGGUCGGACAUCAGGAGGUUAGUGCAAUGGCAUAAGCCAGCUUGACUGCGAGCGUGACGGCGCGAGCAGGUGCGAAAGCAGGUCAUAGUGAUCCGGUGGUUCUGAAUGGAAGGGCCAUCGCUCAACGGAUAAAAGGUACUCCGGGGAUAACAGGCUGAUACCGCCCAAGAGUUCAUAUCGACGGCGGUGUUUGGCACCUCGAUGUCGGCUCAUCACAUCCUGGGGCUGAAGUAGGUCCCAAGGGUAUGGCUGUUCGCCAUUUAAAGUGGUACGCGAGCUGGGUUUAGAACGUCGUGAGACAGUUCGGUCCCUAUCUGCCGUGGGCGCUGGAGAACUGAGGGGGGCUGCUCCUAGUACGAGAGGACCGGAGUGGACGCAUCACUGGUGUUCGGGUUGUCAUGCCAAUGGCACUGCCCGGUAGCUAAAUGCGGAAGAGAUAAGUGCUGAAAGCAUCUAAGCACGAAACUUGCCCCGAGAUGAGUUCUCCCUGAGACUUAGAGUCUCCUGAAGGAACGUUGAAGACGACGACGUUGAUAGGCCGGGUGUGUAAGCGCAGCGAUGCGUUGAGCUAACCGGUACUAAUGAACCGUGAGGCUUAACCUUACAACGCCGAAG